UCCUCAGACGGGAUUGCAAAUUUCAAAAUGCCCUAGGUAUUUUCAGAUCUGAACAUUCUCCCUCCUUCUCCACAAAACCACCUCCUCUCAUUUCUACUCCAUGGAUUCAGCCGAUUAUCUUUCCUUCCUACAUCUUGUCUUCUUUUCCUUCUAUUGUUUUGUUCAUUAUCAAAAUUAGGCCUAUCUUCAAGAGAGACCGACAAGUAAAGUGUGCAAGAUGUCAUUAAGGACUUGACUGAUUUCUUGUGAGCACAUAGUUUAGCAUACCGAGCAAACCAAGGACCUUAGGUACUUAUGGAGCUUGCACAGGGAG
rnacentral:lncRNA from 1 species